CACUACUAAAAACAAUUGCAUUCGCUUCGGAAAUUUGCGACGGCAUUGAUUUCCGUAGCAAUUGAGACUCUAUUGCUACGGAAAAUGUUCCGUCGCAAUUAAGUCUAAUCAUUUGCGACGGAAAAUCUUUGCCGUAGUAACUUUGUAAUCAAUUGCUAUGCCUUUUCCUCUUGCCGUCGCAUAACUUAUUUCUAUUUCCCCUUACAUCUCGAUCUGUAGCCCUAAUUAGCCCAAGCUCUCUCUGUCUCUAUCUCGCCCAAGCGCUCUCUUUCUCUCUCUUCUCGCCCAAGCUCACCCAAGCUCUCUCUCUCUCUCUCUCUCUCUCUCUUCAGAACUUGGGUUUCUGUCUUCGUCCAAACUCAGGUUCCAAGGGCCUGAGGAUCCACGACAACCCUGCUCUCGAGCACGCCUCCAAGGCCUCCAAUUUCCUCUACCCGGUCUUCUUCAUCGAUCAACACUGCAUGAAUCCCGACCCGAACGCACCCUCGGCCGGAUCCUCCAAGGCCAGCCUGAACCGAAUCUGGCGCUCAUUAGGUUUGAGUUAAUUUUCGAUCCAUGAUAGAUUCCCAAAUGCCCAGGAAGAAAUUUUGGUUUCCAAAUCGGCAAGCUGAGCAUGGCUCUUAUUUUCAGUUCAUCUUCACCACUCUACUUUGCCUCGUUUUGGAAAGUGGUGCUGCUAGGUGGGUAAUUUUAUUAACAAUUGAAGAAUGGCCGAUAGCAUGAAGCAAUUCCAGAAAAUCUUAAUUGAGCAUGAGACUCAAGCUGAGCACCUCUUUCUAGCUAAACACCAGGUAAUUCAUACUUGUUACUCUAAUGAUUUAAUUAUCUGCUAAAUAGGGCAUCUGAUAUUUACAUUGGACAGUCGAUAUAGAAUUGAGUUUAGCUAUGGUCAUCCUACUUGUUAUGGGUUUCUAGGUUUGUUUUCUGUUUCAGGCUUGUAGUUUUUUAUGGGAUUGAUUGUACCCAAGUUUAGUGGCAUGAGUGACUCGGGAGGAGAAAUCUUUGUUUACAUUCUUAUCCUGUUAGUCAUAUCUUCAAGCCAUUAUUUUUAUAAUUGAAUGCUGGAGUUAUUAACUUUUGUUUACUUGCAUUAUAAAGGGACUGAAUUGUAUUACUUGGUAUAUUGAAUGCCCUGCAAAAUAGGAUCAUCUUUCCUUUGAUCUUGUGUCAAUCAGUCAGUGUAGUUGCUUUCUGUUGGCAUUAAGUGGAGGGGCGCUUUUGUUUAUUUAUAAUUUUUUGCGUUGUAUCUUUCUUGCAAGAGUCAUUUUUCAAUUUUAUGAAGAGUAAUUAUGAGUCUAGUGCUUUUAAGAGUCUUAGGGUGAGUACUCAAGGGUCUUGUCAUUAAUUGAGUCUUGCGGUGUUCUAGGAGUCUUUUUAAGCCUAUAAAUAUAGCUACGGUUUGUAAACCCAGAUGAGAUUGGAAUGAAAUAAACUCAGUUUGUAUUGAAAGUCUCCAUAAAGCCUCUGUUUCUUGUAAAACCAUUCUGGUCUCUUAAUCUCUCAACCCUAAUCACACUCUCACCGAGCCGACUGUUGCUCUGUUGUGCAUCACUAACUUUUAUAGAAAAUACAAGCUCAAAUAGGCAAAGAAAUUGCUUACCAGGGGAUGAAGAAAGCGGUGACCAUCGUCACUGAUUGAUCUUGUGUCAAUCAGUCAGUGUAGUUGCUUUCUGUUGGCAUUAAGUGGAGGGGCGCUUUUGUUUAUUUAUAAUUUUUUGCGUUGUAUCUUUUGCAACCUAUUUGAAACAUCAGUUUUCUGCAAUUUGGAUUUUCA